AGUGGUUCCUCCACCAGGGAGACAAGUUUAAUUGCUGUGGGUCAGAGCUGGCCUCCCCGGUGCAGGGAGGAGGAGAUCCCAUGAGUGCGUGGCAGAAAACGCCAGCCACUCAUGACGCCUUGAGCCAGGGUCAUACUAUAUUGACCUGGCUGGUCUGGAACUCCUGGCCUCAAGCGAUUAUCCUGCCUCAGCCUCCCAAACUGUUGGGAUUACAGGGUGAAGCUCUAGUUCCAUAACUUCUGGGAAGCAAUGGCCAGUCUCAGACUUAAGGAUUAAGAGGAUUUUCCUAAUGAUUCCAGAAUCGGAUACUAAGAAACACGGACACUGCCAGGGAAGGCGCAGUGGCUCCCGUCUGCAGUCCAAGCACUUUGGACGGAUCACGAGGUCAGGAGUUCAAGACCAGCCUGGCCAAUAUGGUGAAACCCCAUCUCUACUAAAAAUACAAAAAUUAGCCAGGCAUGGUGGCGCAUGCCUGUAAUCCCAGCUACUCGGGAGGCUGAGGCAGAAGAAUUGCUUGAACCCAGGAAGCAGAAGUUGCAGUGAGGCGACAUUGUGCCACUGCACUCCACCCGGGGUGACAGAGCCUGAGUCCGUCUCAAAAACAAACAAACAAACAAACAAACGAGGACACUGUCUGAGCACUCUUAUUCUGCAUUUGAAGAAAUACAGAAACAAUGGCAAAAAAUCAUUUGCUCAGAAUUACAGUAAAGAAUCUGCAAGUGUUGGCAAGCAUAACUUUGAUUAUUAUUUGAUUACAUGAAUUAUGAAAUGCAUGUAAGUUGAAGUUUUAGAGAGACAUAUAAAUACACAGUAUAAUUGGGGGUUCUUAUUAUUAAGGUCCCUUGUCUUUAGUAUCUGAUAGUUUCGCAUCUCCUUCCUCAUGAGUCCAUGGCAGAAAGUGUCAGUCUGUCUUUUCCUGGCUCCUGUGGGUUAGAACCAUUUAUGAAGUACAUAUCUCUCCAUAGUAGCUCCCUUAUGGUGUUUUGAUAAGAAGCUAUUCUGGGACCUUCAGCUUUUCUUCUGUUACUACCUGUUGAGGUGAGAGCAAAGGAGAUAGAGACAGCAAAGGAGGCAAGAAGUGGUCUACUCUCUUUUCCAUCUUUCACCCAAGGAUAAGUACUAACCACAGCAGAGCUUAUAUCUGGCUAUAUAUUAAGGAUAUUUUCCUGAAGACCUGAAGAAAACAAAACAGCAUAACAUUAGAGCCCAGAUAAAUUUUGAACAAGAUAAAGAUUUGAUCUUGGAGCCCUUGGGGUUCAGCUAUAACCUAUCUCUUCUGAGAUGAUUUAGUUAUCCUCCCUCCAGGUGGAGGCAGCUUCAUGACCAUUCCUCCUGGAUAUAUGUGCAUUUGGGGGAAGACCCUUAUUCCAUCACAAAGCACCAGAUAGGAGUAGAGUCCUGGCUCAUCCACUCUAAUGCUGAAUUCCCCAGUGUCCUCUUUUCCAUUCUACCUCUCACAUGCUCUGACAUUGGCACCCUGUCAGCCUGUCCCUUAACACCAUAAACUACUAUUGGUACAUUUUCCAAAGUUUAAGCUUACUUAGAAUAUGUAUGAUUGUUUUCUAGCCUGGUUCAAUUCCUUUUCAUGAAUUUGUAUUCAUUACUAGGUCAAGAUAAAUACACAUUCUUCCUGUAGUUUUCCAGGUCUUGUUUUCUGAACUCGGGAGCAAUUGUUUAAAAAUUAAUACAGUGACAGUGAUAAUCUGUGUAAUGUGAUAUUCAAAAGCAAAAUUUGCAUUUUAAAAAUGACAGAUUUUGUAGCCUUCACCAUAGUUGUAAUGUUUUAACAAUUUGAAGCCAAUUUCGAUGAGUACCCUAAUUUCUCCAAAUAUUUAGCAAGAAGAGUUUUCCUAAGCAAAGAGUCUAGGCCAUGGAAAAUUAACUUUCCUCUUUCUCACACUUGUGAGAACAGUGAGGCUCAGAGAGUCUGAAUUAUUUGCCAAAGGUCCUAAGAGUGGUGGAGCUGGGAUUCAAAACUAUGUCACUCUUACUCUACAACCAUGCUGCCUUCUAAAAUUUGUCACUGAAUGUAACUUCCCUUAGCACAUAAAACUGUGUGCAGCAAAAGUUCUACAAGCUCCGGGGUCAAGGGGAACAAUAGGUUUUCUGUGUCUCCAGAUAAGUUGACUCAACCCGAUCAUAUUCAAUUCAAUUUUCAUUUAUUGAUCGUCCAUCGGUUUCAGGUACUAAGUGCUAGACAUAAAAAUGACCAGAGAAAAAAGAGAAUUUUGGAAUGAGAGCAGAAUGGAUUAUUUUCUUCUUUCUUUCUUCUGGUUCAAAUAGUAUAUCUCCUGCACAUGACAGUUUUCCUGUAACCUGGUGUAGCACUUUGAAAAUCCAGUAAAGCAGAAGUGACAGCGCUGUAACUCAUGAACUCCACUGAGAUUGCUAUGGUGUGACAAACCUGUCUCAGCUGUCUGUAUAUAAAUUAGGAAUUCCUAAAGCUUUCAAUACGAAAGUUGCUGUGAACUGCUUCAUUUCAAACUGAAAGCAUUGAAAUGCUAAUUAGGAAGCAUUUUUUUUUUCCUUCAAAGUAACUUUAAAUAACUUUUCGGGAAAGUAAACACAAUUAGUCUAUUUUUAUGGGACAGAUUUCUCCCUAUGAGAGGAGAAUGGCCAUUUUUGUGAACUACUGUUGGAUAUGACAUAUAUAUUUUGGAAGUCCCUUUCAAUCGUUGGAUUUGGCAGAUAAAAUGUUUAUACCGAUUGUAUUUUAUUGAAAGCCAUUUUAUGCAAAUUAAUUUAACACAGAAUUUAAUGAUUUUGGAUGCUGUGAGAUGAGGGGAAAUAACCUUUAAAAUUAACACUGCAAUUUUCAUCUUCUGAUUGUCUCAGCCUCCCCCAGAAUAGAAAAUGCUUAUUCUCUUGGAGAGAGAAAUAAAUUUAAUCUUUACACGGGCUUUAUACAAUAGAAGAUUAAAAUGCUUGAGGGUGGUGUUAAGAUAUUGGAAACUACUAAGAGUUUGAUGACAAAGAGAUUGCGCUCAGAAGAAGGUGAUGAAAAAGUGUUUUAAUAUAUGCUGUAUGGAGUAGGAAUGAUUCAUGCGGAGUUGAUGCUCAAAUUCUAAAACUCUUAAACUCUUAGCGGCAGGAGUCAUCUUAAGGUAAAACCAUAAUUUCUAUAAAUGAUAUUUCUUUUUUUUGAGACGGAGUCUCGCUCUGUCGCCCAGGCUGGAGUGCAGUGGCGCGAUCUCCGCUCACUGCAAACUCUGCCUCUC
rnacentral:lncRNA from 10 species